AAACCAUAUCAAUCCAGCAGAUAGCUUAAACAUAACCAUUUCUCUCUUUUUUCACGACCCUUGAGAAAAAAAUGCAGAUCUUCAGCAAAGUGUUGAGAGAUACUGAUGUCCAUGUUCGGUUCUCGUUCCCAACUCAUUGCUUAGAGCAUUUAGAUUUUGCUGGAAAUAAUUCUGUUGAUUUGUAUGUUAAAGAUAGCUGUGGACUGUGGUGAGCUUCGGGUUAUUCGUUGCCUGAAGAGAAAUGGAGUUUAUGACAAGCCAGUGCUUUCUAUGGGCUGGCUUAAAUUUGUUGAUGAUUAUGGACUGAGAGUUGGUGACAUGGUUGUUCUUCAUCGUGAGGAUGACCAGAACCUGGGGUCACAGUUCAUGAUUGAAGCUAAGAGGAGAAUUAAGCUGUUUGGUGAGGAGGAUUGGGGUGAAGUGACAAGAGAUAACUAGCUAUUAUUUGCAUGGAGCGUGGAUGUUCGGCCAGAUCCAGAUAUAUAUAGAAGAAUCAAUUUCCUAAGUUUGGUGUUUUUGUGUGUGUAAAUUAAACAAAUAUGUUGCUGUUCUUAGUUUCUUGAAUAUGUAUUACGUGCAUGUAAUUCUCAGCAAUAAUGGAUUUAAUUAAUUAUAUGUGAUCA